GUAGUCAUAUGCUUGUCUCAAAGAUUAAGCCAUGCAUGUCUAAGUAUAAGCAACUAUACCGUGAAACUGCGAAUGGCUCAUUAUAUCAGUCUAAAUAUACUUGAUAGUACCUUACUACUUGGAUAACCGUGGUAAUUCUAGAGCUAAUACAUGCUAAAAACCCAGACUUCGGGAUGGGUGUAUUUAUUAGAUAAAAAACCAAUGCCCUUCGGGGCUCCUUGGUGAUUCAUGAUAACUUAACGAAUCGCAUGGCCUUGUGCCGGCGAUGGUUCAUUCUAUAUUCUGCCCUAUCAACUUUCGAUGGUAGGAUAGUGGCCUACCAUGGUUUCAACGGGUAACGGGGAAUUAGGGUUCUAUUCCGGAGAGGGAGCCUGAGAAACGGCUACCACAUCCAAGGAAGGCAGCAGGCGCGCAAAUUACCCAAUCCCGACACGGGGAGGUAGUGACAAUAAAUACUGAUCUUGGGCCAUUUUUGGUCUAAGAAUUGGAAUGAGUACAAUUUAAAUCCCUUAACGAGGAACAAUUGGGGGGCAAGUCUGGUGCCAGGCC
rnacentral:rRNA from 1 species